GGGGUCUGAUCUGUGAUAUGGUAGCUGUUGCUAAAAUCAUGAAGGCAACACUUGUACUUCCUUCCCUUGAUCAUACAUCCUACUGGGCAGAUGAAAGUGGCUUCAAAGAUCUUUUCGAUUGGCAGCAUUUUAUUGAAACUCUAAAGGAUGACAUCCACAUUGUCGAGACAUUACCACCAGAAUUUGCUGGAACUGAGCCUUUUAACAAAACACCUAUAUCCUGGUCUAAGGUUAGUUACUAUAAAUCAGAGGUCCUCCCUCUGCUGAAGCAGCACAAAGUAAUGUAUAUUACUCACACUGAUUCUCGGAUAGCCAACAAUGGGAUACCCAAUUCUAUUCAGAAGCUGAGAUGCCGUGUAAAUUACCAAGCGUUGAAAUACUCGGCCCCCAUUGAAACUUUGGGAAGAAUUUUGGUUUCGAGAAUGCGACAAGAUGGCAAUCCUUAUCUUGCUUUGCAUUUAAGAUACGAGAAGGAUAUGCUUGCUUUUACAGGCUGCAGUCAUAAUCUUACAAAAGCU
rnacentral:misc_RNA from 1 species